rnacentral:lncRNA from 1 species
AAGAAAUAGAAGUACUAAAGCAAGGCUGUAAAUACACUGCUAAAACUUUUCAAACUCCUGAUGUUGAAAGGUCAUAAAAACAGACUGUAUUCAAAUCACUUCCUGUUUUGCCAGCAGAGCCACAAGUAAGUUCCAAGUGGGAAAGUGACUGUUCAAAGUGGCAAACGCAGGAUGAAAAGGACAGCUACACAGCACUCUCAGAAAUCUACAGCAGUGAAAUCUUUGACGAAAGACUGUCAUCUGCCUCUGGGCUUUCUACAGGAUUGUUUUGGCCUUUACAUCCCUCAGCACUUGAAUUUUCAACUUAUCUGUUGCAUUUCUUCAAAUGCUGAUUUGUGGUAACUCAAAUUAUCUUAAGAAGAAGUCACCAAGGAGGAGCCCAAGAACUCGUAGCUAGAAGCUGUCAGAAGCUGCAUUUAGGGGAUUGAGAGUGGUGAGAGAAGUCUUGGAGCAAGAAUGCAGGACACCAGGGUAAAAGCCCAGUCCGUAGAAUCCUUCCCUAAGCACUUUGAACACGACGAGGUCAAAGACAGUUCGCUUGGCUGGUUGAGCCUUUGGAAACCCAGUGGUGUCACCCACCAGAAGACCCAAAGCUUCAGAGUACUCACACACAGUCUUUCUCCUGGGAAGUGGUCUUUAAGAAGGUGUGUCUCUGCCACAUAUUUCUGAGGAGCUCCUGGGUCUGGGAAACUUUGGAGUCAGCACUGACCUUUUAUCCUGGUUCUAUAAACCAGAUCACAUGCAAGAAUGUUGCUUCUUAAAAAUUCUCAAAAGUGUUGAAUAGCUGUAGUCCAUGCUAAAGGAAAAUUGAGAACACCAAGUUGUUAGUGAGAGCUGAAUCACUCUGAGUGAUGGAGUGAGAAGUUUUAUUAGGUUGGUGCAAAAGUAAUUUGCGGUUUUUUACAUCAAUUUUAAUGGCAAAAACUGCAAUUACCUUUGCACCAACCUAUAGUUCACAGAGUCAGGUAGACUAGGUAAAGGCAGGCAGAAAGCAGAGACUGGGGAAGUGGAGAAGAGUUAGUGAAAUGAUUUGACUUUGGAGACAAUGGGGUGAAGGCCCAGGGAAGGUUCCACACUCUUGGGGUGGCCAUAGAAAAGUUUUAAAACUCAGAAUUUAAUUUGACUCAAUUUGUUUGCCAAUUCAACUCUCAAUUUGUAAUUUGCAAUAAACUUUUCUAUCUUCACAAAUUCUUUACAUGGUAGGUUUUUGUGGAAAACAAUAAAGGUGAUGAACAUUCUGUCUGGGUCAAUGGUUCUUGAUCUUCAAGACUCUUUAAAAUCACUUGGGGAACUUUUGAAAUCUGCAUGCUGAUGUCAGACUCCUGAGUGAUUACAACAGAAUCUCUGCAGGUGGGACCCAGGAAUCAGUAUAACUUAAAAGAUCCCAGGUGAAUCCAAUAUGCAGCUUGCUUUGGAAUGAGUUAUUGUGAAACAAUAGACUACAGUGAUCAACGUGAACUCAUCUGAGAGACUCCUCGGCAAUCAUGUCUGCUUUGUUCUUUAAUCAGUUCUGUUUCACAUUAUUGGAAACACCUAUUUUAAUUUUAUAAGCCUCCAUUUUUCUCAAAACUUCCACCUCCAAUUCCAUGUAUACUCUCAACUAAUGACUUCCCUUCUACCUUUCAGAGAUAAUUAGAGCUCAACAUGAAAAAUUUCUUUAUUUCCUGUCACCAAAUCUGUAAAUGCGUUUUUUCUUAAUUACUUUUCAUUAGUGCCUUUCUAUCAACAUUUGACCAUCCAAAAUCAUCCAUCUCUAGAAAGUAACAAUACAGAAAUAUAGGGUGUGUGUUUG